UCGCAAUCUUCUUUGUCGAUUAGAACUCUAAAAAAAAAUUACGCUGUUAUCCCUAAGGUAACUUGAUCUUUUAAUCUAAAUUUUAGGAUCAUCUACUUCAUAAAUUAAUGAUUCUAAUAAGAAAAAGUUCUUUAAAUUUUUCUGUCACCCCAACAAAAUAAUUAUUCUUAAAUAAAAAUUUUAUUCUAUUAAUCCAUUUAAAAAUAAAUAUAAAGCUCUAUAGGGUCUUCUCGUCUUUAAUAAAAAUUUAAGCUUUUUCACUUAAAAAUAAAAUUCUAAAAAAUUUUUCCUGAGACAGUCUAUUCCUCAUCAAUCCUUUCAUUCCAGCUUCUAAUUAAGAAACUAAUUAUUAUGCUACCUUUGCACGGUCAAAGUACCGCGGCCAUUUAAGCUAACCUCAUUGGGCAGGACCGACUUUAAAUUAUUUUCAAAAAGCC
rnacentral:rRNA from 1 species